rnacentral:rRNA from 1 species
CCCGACUGCUAUUUGGGUGGGACUAAGCCAUGCAAGUCGUAUGGGAUACCUAAAGUUCCCAUGGCGAACUGCUCAGUAACACAUGAUCAACUUACCCUAUGGAGAGAAAUAACCUCGGGAAACUGAGGAUAAUGUCUCAUAGUUGAAAAGGCUUGGAAAAGUUUUUCAACGAAAGGGGUAAGAAAAAUGGUUCUUACCCGCCAUAGGAUAGGAUUGUGGCCGAUUAUGGUAGUUGGUGAGGUAACGGCUCACCAAGCCGAUAAUCGGUAGGGGCCGUGAGAGCGGGAGCCCCGAGAUGGGUACUGAGACAACGACCCAGGCCUUACGAGGCGCAGCAGGCGCGAAACCUCCGCAAUACACGAAAGUGUGACGGGGCCACCCAAAGUGUCCUCUUUAGGACUGUGGUAGGAGAGUAAUAUCCCCUACUAGAAAGGAGAGGGCAAGGCUGGUGCCAGCCGCCGCGGUAAAACCAGCUCUUCAAGUGGUCGGGAUAAUUAUUGGGCUUAAAGCGUCCGUAGCCGGAUUAGCAAGUUCCUGGUAAAAUCAGGUAGCUUAACUACCUGUAUGCUAGGAAUACUGCUAUUCUAGAGGGCGGGAGAGGUCUGAGGUACUACAGGGGUAGGGGUGAAAUCCUGUAAUCCCUGUAGGACCACCAGUGGCGAAGGCGUCAGACUGGAACGCGCCUGACGGUGAGGGACGAAAGCUAGGGGAGCGAACCGGAUUAGAUACCCGGGUAGUCCUAGCCGUAAACGAUGCAUACUAGGUGAUGGCACGGCCAUGAGCCGUGUCAGUGCCGUAGGGAAACCGUUAAGUGUGCCGCCUGGGGAGUACGGUCGCAAGGCUAAAACUUAAAGGAAUUGGCGGGGGAGCACCACAAGGGGUGAAGCCUGCGGUUU